rnacentral:rRNA from 1 species
UACGGAGGGUGCAAGCGUUAUCCGGAUUCACUGGGUUUAAAGGGUGCGUAGGCGGGCAGGUAAGUCAGUGGUGAAAUCUCCAGCUUAACUUGGAACUGCCGUUGAUACUAUCUGUCUUGAAUAUUGUGGAGGUGAGCGGAAUAUGUCAUGUAGCGGUGAAAUGACUUAGAUAUGACAUAGAACACCGAUAGCGAAGGCAGCUUACUACAGGAUGAUUGACGCUGAGGCACGAAAGCGUGGGGAGCAAACAGGA